UCUUACGGCCUAAAAUCAUACAAAUGUAAUAAAGCUAUUUCAAAAUUUCUAAUAAAGCAGGGUCGGGCCUGGUUAGUACUUGGAUGGGAGACCACCUAGGAAGACCAGGUGCUGUAGGUG
rnacentral:rRNA from 1 species